ACUCUGGCCUGCAUGAUUAAAGCGCUGGGGAAUGAAAGGGGGGAAUUGGAGGGCAGCUGCAGCUAGCCAUGAACAAGGAUGCACUUCUCCUGGUGAACGAUGCUUGUUGGGUGCCCUGUCCCCUAAGGAUAUCUGAGUAAGAGCCAGACAGAUGGGAGAAAUUUGGGGAUUAGGAGACCGUCAGUUUCUCAUCCCUGUGGAACUACAUGGAGCUUAUUCUGAAAAUCACCUUCUCCUGCCUCCUCUGAGGUGACUUAAGAACUCCGUUCCCCUCUAACCUGGGCUUCAUGGGCCCUUCCGUGGAACCCCAGGCCACUGGCUGCCUGGACUGACCAUGUCCACUUGUGUUAGCCAACACGUGAGCCUGAGAGGCUGGAGCUCAGAAUACACCCUGGGGCAUGGGGACAAGUCCUGGGCAGUGGCUGGAGCUCUGUCUGUCAUUUUCCUUCAACCAGCAAGUGUGUCUGAGCCAAAAUAGAAGGAUGGAGCAGACAUUCAGAAGCAUCUCUCCUGAAGACAGGCCAGCGUCCAGCUUCCCGUCACUCACUGAAGAGCACUGGGCGCCCGCGGGGGCUGUGUGGGCUGCUGCACGAGAGCUACAGUGAGCAGACAGGCAACGUCCCACUGCUCCAGGGACGCGUGUUCUACUGGGGCAGAGACAACAGCAACAAGCAGACAAGAAACGCCGCAGAGUGCUGUGUGCCAGUGACACUAUUCCUGCACGAGAGAACUGUGACUGGAUUCCGCCAGGGAGGAGCUGUGACCAGCGGGGCGGAGACGGGGGAGGGAAGAGCCGGCGUCACCUCCAGGCCUCCUGUGCCCGAGGGGAGGAAGAGCCAGCGUCCCUGGCCACAGGUGAGAAUCACCGCAUCGGUGAGAGCUGCGGCUGCAUCUGAUCUAGAUGCAGCAGCUGAAGGUCGGGAGUGCUUGUGGCUCACCUGUCUCAGGCUACGGAGCCCUCCUCGCAACCUUGCGGAGUACGGUUUCCUCCAGUGACUCGCCUGUAUUUCAUCUCUUCCCUGGUGGAACAGGUCACCCUGCAAACGUGGUUCAUUAGUACCCUGGGGGAACGUCCCGGGGGAACGUCCUGGGGGACUGAAUGGAUUAUGAGGGAAAAGCAAGCAGGACAGUGAAAGGGGAAGAGACCAGGCCGAGGACACCCCAGGGCUGAAGUGAAAGAUCCCUGAUGGGCAGGGGUGGCGUGACCGGGCUCCCAAGAUCGGGUCCUGAUCCGGGUUUUCGUGUAGCAAGGUCACGUGUGGAGACCGGGGCCCCGGGGCUGUGGGCCGGGGUGACGCUGCCAUGCGUGGGGGAAAGGGUGGCAAAUUGUGGCCUCGGUCUCUUCCGAACUUUCCAGUUCAGUUGCUUUUUAAAAAGGUGCUCAGCCUUCCUUUUCAGGCCAACUUUAGUGUGAC
rnacentral:lncRNA from 1 species